UAAGGAUCAGGAGUGAACAGCAUUUGUGAGAUACCUGAUGCUUCAGGCUGUGAAGAUGAGAAAGGAAACCAGCAGCCUUUCCAGAUGUGAGAAGAGCCUUGCCACAAGAUGCUUGGAGGAAUGAAUGACCAGUGUGCAGGACACCCAGAUGCUGUCCUGGCCCCUUUGGUACUCAGCAUGUAAUCUUAGGAUCAACUUCUUGCUCUUUUUCUAAGAAGUACUCUUGAAUCCGAAGAACAAUAUCAGUUAUUAUCAAUAAUCAUCUGCAUUAGAGCAGAACGAAUACAUUUCUAUCAGGGAAGAGAAAACCACCCAUUCCAUCAUUAAGCUCAACAUCAUUUUAUUGUUUUCAUUAUUAUUUACUAUUGGCAGGUGGGCUGUGCAUGACAGUGCAGAUGCUGGGGCCAGAAGUCUACUCCAUGUAGUUCGUUCUCUCCUCCCACCUCUAUGUGGGUUCCAGCAGUCAAAAUCAGGUUGCCAGGUUUGCACAGCAAACACCUUCAACUGCUAAGCCAUCUUGCUGGCCCAAAGGUUGGCAUCACUGAAGCCUACAGUUUUUUAUGGUCCUCCAUAAAAGAAGUGACAGAAGUCCCCAUUUUCUACCAUAAAGCCUCCACUUUCUUAGAGGCCAGUGGCCAAGACAAGUGAAAAUGAUUCUGACUGUGAUUAUUCUAAUUCUGGUUAUUGGUAAAGUCGCCACUCUCUGUGUUUUGGCAACAUUAGCUCAAAUAAGCAUGGGCCUUUGUUUCUAGGGUGAAACAUGAGCUCUGACUUCUAAAUCAACAGACAAGAAAGUGUAUGAAAUAAAACUUUAAAAGCUGGGUGAUGUCUAAGAUUAUAAGACCAUUAAACAAUACUGGUAAGUACAGAGACACAGCAAAGCAGUAUGGAAACUUGGCUCACGGGUGAGCUCAUGAAACCUGCCUUAUGUGGAGACAGCCUUCCAAUUUGGUUCUGAAGUGAACAAAAAAUAAAGCUUGAUUUAAUCUGGC
rnacentral:lncRNA from 1 species